rnacentral:tRNA from 2 species
GCCCAGGUGGCGGAAUGGUAGACGCGGGGGGCUUAAACCCCCCUGGCACGAAAGUGCUGUAUCGGUUCGAGUCCGAUCCCGGGCA